AGAAACAUAGAUAAAUCUUUCUUCCAACGGUGGUGUUGUGGUCGUUUUAUUUGAGCACAAGCAGCCAAGUGUUUUAAGUAACAAACCCUCCCAGUCUCUUGUUAUUAUGACAACCAGUAAAGAUUGUGUUGUAAAGCUUUGACAACACGUUGAGAAUGGUGAUACCAUCACCAACAUGGAGUUCACAGUCGGCGUGGUCUGUGAUGUUCUUAACGCUGGUGUCUUACGAGGAUGUCAUUAACGGCAUGAAGACAAAGCCAGUGUAUUCUCUACUGUGUUCGCCGGUCAGCACAACCAUCAUCGACACAGCUUACUACACAAACAUUUCCUCUGAAGUCUGCGGAACGAACUGCCAGCCCUCAAGGGAGGCAACUGCUACACAUACGGAGAUGGUCUGUGCGGAUUGAUGCUCUCCCCUAGUGACGUCAGUCUGCCUGUACAGAAACUGUUACUCCGACAACGCCACCUGCGGGCACGAGACAUUCAGCGCCAUGUCACGAAAAAAAAGCAUCUCCCUUUUGUUUCUGUGCUCCACCGGGGAGGCGCUGGAUCCAUGUGAGCCUCUCAGUGGAGAGUCAACGGUCCUGUUUCGUAACUUUGGUGUCCUUGACCCGUUGUGUAACACGAGUUGUACGUGCGAUGUGGAGGUCCCACACCUGGUAGAAGGAGGUAGCCUCCAGGUUACAUAUCUGAUGUUUUCUGACUUCGAGAACAGCGGCAGAGCUUCUAUCAAUGCCUCGCUCUCUUUACCUGGAUUGUCAGAGGCUUUCCUCAACGUCUCCACCUACCCUGUGACACAACAUCUACCUGUCGUGACACACACACUAACAUUUAGUGUCAACCUUGCAUAUUUCUGGACAAGAGGACCCAUCUGCAAGAUUCUGGCUUCGAUUAGAAAAGCGUGCAAGGAUUGUCUGCUAUGGUUCGAGACACCCCUCUAGUACUGAAGUCUAUCCUGAUACACAACAAGAAGUGAAACAUGAUGGCGAGAAUGAUGAGCGGCUCUCUGGACAUCUGCUGGUAUUGCUGCCAUCGUCGCAGGAUUGUCUGCAGUUGCUGUCACCAUCGGCCUUGUCAUCUGUGCCACCAAACGAUGUGUCUUUUUUCGCCCCAGAAAGAAAUUGUCGCUGUGUCUCCAGCCUCUGGCCACCCUGAGUAGUGACACAGGUGUGUCUCAGACGGGAGUGUCAGUGGAGUAUCAGGUGGACACCAGCACCACAGACACCAGUGUGUACGUACAUCACACACACUGACUGUCGGGACAAUCACCUCAGCUUUCACUCACAUCCCAUAUGACUUUGGCUGACAUCAGACACCAAGAUUUUGUUUCUUUUCCUCUCCGAACCCUUACUUGUCUUUUGUGACAAUAAACUCGUCAGAACGACGACCAUUU